rnacentral:rRNA from 1 species
GACGAACGCUGGCGGCGUGCUUAACACAUGCAAGUCGAACGGAAAGGCCCUGCUUUUGUGGGGUGCUCGAGUGGCGAACGGGUGAGUAACACGUGAGUAACCUGCCCUUGACUUUGGGAUAACUUCAGGAAACUGGGGCUAAUACCGGAUAGGAGCUCCUGCUGCAUGGUGGGGGUUGGAAAGUUUCGGCGGUUGGGGAUGGACUCGCGGCUUAUCAGCUUGUUGGUGGGGUAGUGGCUUACCAAGGCUUUGACGGGUAGCCGGCCCGAGAGGGUGACCGGCCACAUUGGGACUGAGAUACGACCCAGACUCCUACAGGAGGCAGCAGUGCUGAAUAUUUCACAAUGGGCGGAAGCCUGAUGCAGCAACGCCGCGUGCGGGAUGACGGCCUUCGGGUUGUAAACCGCUUUCGCCUGUGACGAAGCGUGAGUGACGGUAAUGGGUAAAGAAGCACCGGCUAACUACGUG